AUUGAACGCUGGCGGCAGGCUUAACACAUGCAAGUCGAGCGGGGACUUCGGUCCUAGCGGCGAACGGGUGAGGAAUGCUUGGGAAUCUGCCCAGUAGCGGGGGAUAACGUUUCGAAAGGAACGCUAAUACCGCAUACGCCCUACGGGGGAAAGGGGGGAUCUUCGGACCUCUCACUAUUGGAUGAGCCCAAGUCGGAUUAGCUAGUUGGUGGGGUAAAGGCCUACCAAGGCGACGAUCCGUAGCUGGUCUGAGAGGAGGAUCAGCCACACUGGAACUGAGACACGGUCCAGACUGCUACGGGAGGCAGCAGUGGGGAAUAUUGGACAAUGGGCGAAAGCCUGAUCCAGCCAUGCCGCGUGUGUGAAGAAGGCCUUCGGGUUGUAAAGCACUUUAAGCGAGGAGGAAUGGCUGAGGGUUAAUAACCUUCAGCAGUGACGUUACUCGCAGAAUAAGCACCGGCUAACUCUGUGCCAGCAGCCGCCGUAAAAC
rnacentral:rRNA from 1 species